rnacentral:rRNA from 1 species
AGAGUUCGAUCCUGGCUCAGAUUGAACGCUGGCGGCAGGCCUAACACAUGCAAGUCGAACGGUAACAGGAAGCAGCUUGCUGCUUUGCUGACGAGUGGCGGACGGGUGAGUAAUGUCUGGGAAAUUGCCUGAUGGAGGGGGAUAACUACUGGAAACGGUAGCUAAUACCGCAUAAUGUCGCAAGACCAAAGAGGGGGACCUUCGGGCCUCUUGCCAUCGGAUGUGCCCAGAUGGGACUAGCUGGUAGGUGGGGUAAAGGCUCACCUAGGCGACGAUCCCUAGCUGGUCUGAGAGGAUGACCAGCCACACUGGAACUGAGACACGGUCCAG